GGUGGCUAAGUGGUAGAGCUCUUGCCUUGCAUGCAUGAGGCCCUGGGUUCGAUUCCUCAGCACCA
rfam:Dipodomys ordii contig_26931, whole genome shotgun sequence.